UAAUACGUAGGGGGCGAGCGUUGUCCGAAGUUACUGGGCGUAAAGCGCGCGUAGGCGGGUUGGCAAGUCCGCUGUGAAAGCCCGGAGCUUAACUCCGGAGGGUCGGUGGAUACUGCCAGUCUUGAAGGGACUAGGGGGAGAUGGAAUUACCGGUGUAGCGGUGAAAUGCGUAGAGAUCGGUAGGAACACCAGUGGCGAAGGCGGUCUCCUGGGGUUAUCUUGACGCUGAUGCGCGAAAGCUGGGGGAGCGAACGGGAUUAGAUACCCCGGUAGUCCCAGCCCUAAACGAUGGAUACUAGGUGUCGGGGGUAUCGACCCCUCCGGUGCCGCAGCUAACGCAGUAAGUAUCCCGCCUGGGGAGUACGGCCGCAAGGUUG
rnacentral:rRNA from 1 species